rnacentral:rRNA from 1 species
AACGAACGCUGGCGGCAUGCCUAACACAUGCAAGUCGAACGAGACCUUCGGGUCUAGUGGCGCACGGGUGCGUAACGCGUGGGAACCUGCCCUUAGGUUCGGAAUAACUCCCCGAAAGGGGUGCUAAUACCGGAUAAUGUCUUCGGACCAAAGAUUUAUCGCCUUUGGAUGGGCCCGCGUUGGAUUAGCUAGUUGGUAGGGUAAAAGCCUACCAAGGCGACGAUCCAUAGCUGGUCUGAGAGGAUGAUCAGCCACACUGGGACUGAGACACGGCCCAGACUCCUACGGGAGGCAGGAGUUGGGAAUAUUGGACAAUGGGCGAAAGCCUGAUCCAGCAAUGCCGCGGGAGUGAUGAAGGCCUUAGGGUUGUAAAGCUCUUUUACCCGGGAUGAUAAUGACAGUACCGGGAGAAUAAGCUCCGGCUAACUCCGUG